GUAGCCGAGUGGUUAAGGCGAUGGACUGCUAAUCCAUUGGGGCUUCACGUUCGAGUUCGAAUCUCAGC
rnacentral:tRNA from 1 species